UACGAGUGCCCCGAGCGUUAUCCGGAAUCAUUGGGCGUAAAGGGUGCGUAGGUGGGUUGGUAAGUCAGUGGUGAAAUACUUUCGCUUAACGAAGGAACUGCCAUUGAUACUACCAGUCUUGAAUACAGUGGAGGUAGGCGGAAUGCGUCAUGUAGCGGUGAAAUGCUUAGAUAUGACGCAGAACACCAAUUGCGAAGGCAGCUUGCUACACUGUUAUUGACACUGAGGCACGAAAGCGUGGGGAUCAAACAGG
rnacentral:rRNA from 1 species